UUAUUACAUUGCUUCAGAAAUCCUCAUCGCCAAUACUCUGCUGAUCUCUCCUUCUAUUGUCACUUCUUCAACAAUAAUUCCAUAUAUUUUUAUUUCAAUUAAUUUUACUAUUCUUUUUCUACACUAACUUUAUUAUACCCUAUCAAGUAUGCUCUCUUAUGUUGGUAUUAUUCCAAAACUCCAUUAAAGUAGCCUAAACUUAAAGAAGAGGGAGAUAAUUUUUAAUUCAAGUAUUACCAAUUAUCAAGUCAUUAAGAUACUCAAGGGAACCACUCUCCUUGCUUGUUGGAACAUAUGGAGUAGAAAUUCUUCUCUUGGAUUUUAGUAUAUAUGGGCAUCGAUCCUAAUCCAACUUCAUCAAUUUCGCUCUAGUUUUGUUUGUGUUGGUGAGCCCUUUACUGUUUAAGGGCUUGAUGUUUUGUAUAAAUAGCUUUAAAGCUCUUUAGACUUGUUAAACUGCUCCAUGUGACACAGGUAGGAUCCAACUUUAGUGACUUGAGUAUAUUGCUUUGUAAAUAUUCUAGUAGAUGAAGCUAAUAGGCUAUGCUUUGCUGUAAAUAUUUAAGUCGAAUUUUAUAUAAAUAUGCUGAGUAUGUUUAAAA